CCUACGGGAGGCAGCAGUAGGGAAUCUUCCACAAUGGGCGAAAGCCUGAUGGAGCAACGCCGCGUGGGGGAUGACGGUUUUCGGAUUGUAAAAUCCUUUUGUUAGAGAAGAUAAUGACGGUAUCUAACGAAUAAGCACCGGCUACCCCCGUGCCAGCAGCCGUGGUCAUACGGAGGGUGCAAGCGUUACUCGGAAUCACUGGGCGUAAAGAGCGCGUAGGCGGGAUAGCAAGUCAGAUGUGAAAUCCUAUGGCUUAACCAUAGAACUGCAUUUGACACUGGUAUUCUAGAGUAUGGGAGAGGUAGGUGGAAUUCUUGGUGUAGGGGUAAAAUCCGUAGAGAUCAAGAGGAAUACUCAUUGCGAAGGCGACCUGCUAGAACAUAACUGACGCUGAGGCGCGAAAGCGUGGGGAGCAAACAGGAUUAGAUACCCCUGUAGUC
rnacentral:rRNA from 1 species